rnacentral:rRNA from 1 species
GGGGAAUUUUCCGCAAUGGGCGCAAGCCUGACGGAGCAACGCCGCGUGAGGGAUGAAGGCCUCUGGGCUGUAAACCUCUUUUCUCAAGGAAGAAGAUCUGACGGUACUUGAGGAAUAAGCCACGGCUAAUUCCGUGCCAGCAGCCGCGGUAAUACGGGAGUGGCAAGCGUUAUCCGGAAUUAUUGGGCGUAAAGCGUCCGCAGGCGGCCUUGAAAGUCUGUUGUUAAAGCGUGGANNNNNACUCCAUUUCAGCAAUGGAAACUACAAGGCUAGAGUGUGGUAGGGGCAGAGGGAAUUCCCGGUGUAGCGGUGAAAUGCGUAGAUAUCGGGAAGAACACCAGUCCCGAAGGCGCUCUGCUGGGCCAUAACUGACGCUCAUGGACGAAAGCCAGGGGAGCGAAAGGGAUUAGAUACCCCUGUAGUC